rnacentral:lncRNA from 1 species
ACCUCUGCCUCCCGGGUUCAAGCAAUUCUCCUGCCUCAGCCUCCUGAGUAGCUGGGAUUACAGGCACCUGCCACCACCCCCAGCUAAUUUUGUAGUUUUAGUAGAGACAAGGUUUCAUGUUCAGAAAGGCCUGUGCUGGGCCCUGUGUGACUGCAUGGUUGCAUACACACGAUGACAGUCAUAAAUCUUCAUCAUGGUUCUUGGAACUAAAGAGGAAAGUUUGGAGUAACGUAUUACAUGGAAUAUCUUUUGUUGAUACUACUUCCUGGGAGUCACCAUAAGGCUCUUUUAAUAUAGAGUAAGCAAAAACCCAGACCCAAAAAUCCUCUAGAAAAUAUCCUCGCCUUUAAAAUUCUAAAUGACUCAUUUGUCAUCAUUGUAGAGGGAGGAGAACAAUUUCUCAGCUGAUCAUAACCCAUAGUUGUUGUGAGGUUAGAGCCAAAGUCUAGUCUUACAAAUCAUUCCUCUCUGACUACAUAAACCGGGGAAGAAGAAUGCCGAGAUUAAUGAAUUAAUUACCAUGUGUCUCCUCAUGGAGAUCAGAAAGUUAAUUGCUUCUUUUUGUCCUUCUUAUCAGAAUGUGGAAAUAUAAAACUACUCUGUAUAAGAUUGGAUUCAGUUUACAAAAAUAAGCCUGAAGCCUUUGAACUCAGGGGGCCCAGGUGGAGAGAUUCUGUUCAUUAUCUGUCCUCCUGCCUCCAGCCUGUGCCAUAGACUCCAAAUGGAUGAAAGCUCUGUAUAGAGAGGUUGUAUUACCAUGGAGUACAAUAUCUGUCAGAUUUGAGUAGAGGUGAACACAGUGGAGGAGAAUAAAGAGAGAGCUGAGUUCUGUCUCAGUGAGCACGACAAAAGGCCGAUGAACCUGUCAGAGGGCAGAAGUGGACCCCAAAGGCUUGUUCCCGCGGACUUUGCUGGUUGACUGUUCUUUGCAUUAAUCUGGAAUCAUGGCGCACCAUUACUCUUUUCAUGUUGUGAUAUUCUCUUCACAUUCUCUUCCUUGCUCCUCAAUGCCAAAUGUGUGACUUUUCAGAAACAAAAUAUUGAGGAAUUUAAAGUGAGCAUGCUGUAGCAACCAGUGAGAUGCAUGGAAAAUCAUAAGCUGUUGAAAAACUGGGAUUGGGAUUUGUUGCUGGGGGCAUAAAUUUUGUGUGUACAUCCAAAGAAUACUCCAUGCUCUGAGACUUAGAAUAUAGUCAUGUUGUGUGAAUUUAUGAAUUAUAUUGAGUAGAAAAUAUAUAUAUAUAGUCAUUUGACAUUAAGAGACAAUGAAUAUAUAAGUGUUUGACUGGACUGGCCAACAUAGUGAAACCCGUCUCUGCUAAAAAUGCAAGAAUUGGCCAGGCAUGGUGGUUGGUGCCUGUAAGCCCAGCUACUCGGGAGGCUGAGGUGGGAGAAUCGCUUGAACCCAGAGGCGGGGUUUGCAGUGAGCCGAGAUCACGCACUGCACUCUAGUCUGGGCGACAGAGCAAGACUCCAUCUCAAACAAACAAACAAACAAGCAAAAAACACAUAAAUAAAUAGUUACAAAAGCAACAAAAAAGUGACAAUAAAAUGACACUGUUAACUGGA